rnacentral:rRNA from 1 species
AGAAUCAACGCUGGCGGCGUGCCUAACACAUGCAAGUCGAACGAGAAAGUGGAGCAAUCCACGAGUAAAGUGGCGCACGGGUGAGUAACACGUGACUAACCUACCCUUGAGUGGGGAAUAACUUCGGGAAACCGAGGCUAAUACCGCAUAACACCUACGGGUCAAAGGAGCAAUUCGCUUAAGGAGGGGGUCGCGGCAGAUUAGUUAGUUGGCAGGGUAAUGGCCUACCAAGACGGUGAUCUGUA